rnacentral:rRNA from 1 species
GAUCAUGACUCAGGACGAACGCUGGCGGCGUGCUUAACACAUGCAAGUCGAACGGUGAACCUGCUCGUGGGGGAUCAGUGGCGAACGGGUGAGUAACACGUGGGCAACCUGCCCUCAGCUCUGGGAUAACUCCAAGAAAUUGGGGCUAAUACUGGAUAUGACCGCUGACCGCAUGGUCUGGUGGUGGAAAGAUUUAUCGGCUGGGGGAUGGGCCCGCGGCCUAUCAGCUUGUUGGUGGGGUAGUGGCCUACCAAGGCGACGACGGGUAGCCGGCCUGAGAGGGUGACCGGCCACACUGGGACUGAGACACGGCCCAGACUCCUACGGGAGGCAGCAGUGGGGAAUAUUGCGCAAUGGGCGGAAGCCUGACGCAGCCGACGCCGCGUGGGGGAUGACGGCCUUCGGGUUGUAAACCUCUCUCACCCAUGACGAAGCGAAAGUGACGGUAGUGGGAGAAGAAGCACCGGCCAACUACGUGCCAGCAGCAGC